ACAUCCUGAGAAAAACAGACAGACAGACUCAGAAGCCUACUCCCCUGCCUCCUACCUGAAGGGAAACACCCCUCCUGGCAGAAAAAGAAGGUCAAGAAGCCUCCGCUAAUCUUGAAAACGCCGUGCCACGGGACAGACAGACACUCGUCCAGGACACAGAGGCUGACCGGCGGGUAAUUCACAGGAAAACUCGAGCCAGAGGGGAGGGGACGGGCUAGGGUCCUCAAGCCAGGAUAGUCCCUGGGGGAAGGCUACGUGAAAAGUCAUCACAGGAAGGCUUCUAGAAAGGAGUAAGAGGUGAAGCUCUAGUGUCAGGACAGUCUUCGGUGCCCCAGGUGGAAAGGGUGACACAAAGCUGAAAGGUCUGUGUACAGACAGGAGACCUGCGCAGGAAGAAUGGCCUGAAUGAGGCCAAGGUCAGUGCUCCUGGCUUCCACCCAGGGGAGGCGGCCCACCAAGGAGGCUGCCCCCUGGACAGUCCGCCUGCAGAGAACAGACUCCUCUUAUCUGUUUGAAUGCGAAAACAUCAAUGGGGAGGAAAACGGGAGUUUGGGGAACUGACCCUUUGAGGGGGUUCCAUCCCUCCCUCCCUCCGACUACAGCUCCGUCUACAAUCCCAGAACAGAAGAAACCUUUCUCUUCCCUCAACAUCGUCACCCUACAUCACGUGCUUGCUUGGAUGAACCCAAACUCCACGAGCCACGUGCGGGUCUUGCUAGACUCCCCCGACCCAGCAGAACACGGCGGCCAGAGCUAGAGGCGGAGCCUUGCCCCUCGAGCCCACUGGCAGACGUCACUGACCUAUGAGGGGGUCGGUGACGUGGGUCCAGUCGAUGCAGCACUGCAGCUCCAGCUGGUAGUGGGACUGGAUAUAGAGAAGCAGGUGCUGGUAGAAGCCAAUCCCCGCAACCAGGUGUGUCCUGUAAGCGCACUCCAAGGUGCUGCGGCUGUGGAUGUGCUGGGCGUCGGGAAAGGGAAGGGCUGGCUAAGCAAGCCGCUCAGAGGACGGCCCCCUCCUGCACGAGGAACUUCUGUUCUCGGCUCGAACCGCGUCCACACCUCUCGCUCACGAGCUACCCCACACCCACUUCUCCGGCCGGACCGCCUGGGGCGAGGCGCCUCCCCUCCCCCUCCAGAUUACACCGGACGCCCUCCCUCCUCUCUGCCUUGGCUCCUCUUUCUCCAGCCAUGUCCUGGCCCACUUUCUGGCUGCUGCUUCCCUUCUUGGCCUCCUCUUCAGACACAUCUCGUCUCAAGAUCUAGGACGUCCCCUUACCUUCUUGUUGGUCUUGAUGAGCUGAAUGACUUCGUAGUACACCUUUCUCCACAGCAGCUCUUCAGCCUUCCUCCCAUAGUCCACUGGGUGCAGGAACAUUAGCUUGACGCAGAGCUCACGCAGCCUGAGGGCACAGACAGGCACAAGACACUGACCGCCCUGGGUGGAGAGAGGAGGCCUUUGCCAACACCUGACCGACACAUCCCUGUGCCUCCUGACAGACACCCAGGGUCCGUCUGCAUGACCCAGGACAAACCCGGGUCUGCGGGGCAAGGGGGGGCCCCAAGGGACAGAGGCAGGAGCAGGAAGAACUUCAGUAAUCAUCUUUUUCCCUGCAGACUUCUCUUUUUUCUGCCUUUUUACCCAUCUUUCUUUCCUGUCAUUAAGCUGCACGGCCAGCUGCCCCAACACAAAUGCCAUCCGUAUGGCCCUGUUAGAUGCAGGGGCUUCACGGAGAACUAGGGGCCCCCAUGUCUUUGUCCAGAAAGGCCACAGCUCCCAGCCCAUUAUUCUACCGCGAGGUCAGGAGGUAAGAGGCUGGGUGCCUGUUUAUACGCCACGGUUCCAGGCGGGCAGGGGGACAGAACCGUCAGCAUCUGCGGUUCUGCAGCCUCCAGCUUACUUGUUCCUCAGGCUGAUGUUCUCCGGUUUGAACACUUCUUGAUAAGCAGUUUUGUUGCAAAGGAUGAGGUCAAGUCGAUGCACAGCCUCCACCACAGCCCUGGAGGGAAACACAGGCACAUGGUCCCUGAGCCAUGCGCGUGUCCACGCCAGCUGGGCCGCUGAUCCAGAGGACGACAGAGUUAGGGGCAGGGGGUGGGCAGGCUGCAGGCGGGGCCGCACAAAAUGAGAUGAACACAGUCUCCCUCUCUACAUAACAGCCCCUACCCCAGGGGACGUCUGGCAGCAGCAGACAUUUCUCAGGGACUCUCCUGCGGCAGGGGUUUGAGGGCAUGGGAGGAGUUGCUACUGGCAUUUAGCAGGUGCUGCGACCCCCCGACGAUUCACAGGACAGCCACCGCAGUAACCGCCCAGCCCCAAAGGUCAACAGUGUCAAAGCAGAGAAACCCUGUGA